rnacentral:rRNA from 1 species
AACGAACGCUGGCGGCAGGCUUAACACAUGCAAGUCGAACGCCCCGCAAGGGGAGUGGCAGACGGGUGAGUAACGCGUGGGAAUCUACCCAGUUCUACGGAAUAACCCAGGGAAACUUGGACUAAUACCGUAUACGCCCUACGGGGGAAAGAUUUAUCGGAAUUGGAUGAGCCCGCGUUGGAUUAGCUAGUUGGUGGGGUAAUGGCCUACCAAGGCGACGAUCCAUAGCUGGUCUGAGAGGAUGAUCAGCCACACUGGGACUGAGACACGGCCCAGACUCCUACGGGAGGCAGCAGUGGGGAAUAUUGGACAAUGGGCGCAAGCCUGAUCCAGCCAUGCCGCGUGAGUGAUGAAGGCCUUAGGGUUGUAAAGCUCUUUCAGUGGGGACGAUAAUGACGGUACCCACAGAAGAAGCCCCGGCUAACUUCGUGCCAGCCGCCGCGGUAAUAC